rnacentral:misc_RNA from 1 species
UAAACGCCGGUCAUCCACUGAUUUAUCGAGGCAAAACACCCGUAAAACCGGUCGUUUACAGCGAUCUCUUGAAAUAAUGGGCGAUUUCGCCGACGACGCCGCGGCGGAAGGUCAGCACGCAGAUCACGAAGAUCGCGCCCUGAAUCACCGUGACCCACUGCCCGAACCCGGCCAGAUACUGCUGCAUGGCGAUGAUGACGAACGCCCCCACCACCGGCCCGAACACCGUGCCGAGGCCGCCGACCAGGGUCAUCAGCACGACUUCGCCGGACAUGGUCCAGUGCACGUCGGUCAGCGACGCGUUCUGC